rfam:Neptunomonas antarctica strain DSM 22306 genome assembly, contig: Ga0111702_101
GCGCCCAUAGCUCAGCUGGAUAGAGUACUUGGCUACGAACCAGGCGGUCGCACGUUCGAAUCGUGCUGGGCGCA